CGCACCUUGCGCUCCCUGGUAUUCCUAGGAGCAUGCCUGUUUGAGUGUCGUGAACAUAUCAACCCCAUAAAGAUUUUGGUCUCUAUGGUGGCUUGGAUUUGGGGGCUUGCUGGCCAUUAAUUUGGUCGGCUCUCCUUAAAUGCAUUAGCUUUGGACUUGUUCUGUAGGCUGCUCGGCGUGAUAAUUAUCUACGCUUUGCAAUCGUCUGUGGAAUAUUAUGGGUCUAGCUUCUAAUCGUCCUCUGGACAACCUUCAUUCAUUUUGACCUCAAAUCAGGUAGGACUACCCGCUGAACUUAA
rnacentral:misc_RNA from 1 species